rnacentral:rRNA from 1 species
ACAGGUGCUGCAUGGCUGUCGUCAGCUCGUGUCGUGAGACGUUCGGUUAAGUCCGCUAACGAGCGCAACCCUCACUGUGUGUUAUACGUGUCACACGGGACUGCCGGUUUUAAGCCGGAGGAAGGUGGGGAUGACGUCAAGUCAGCAUGGCCUUUAUAUCCUGGGCUACACACACGCUACAAUGGUCGGUACAAUAGGUUGCCAAGCCGCGAGGCGGAGCCAAUCCAUAAAGCCGGCCUCAGUUCAGAUUGUAGGCUGCAACUCGCCUGCAUGAAGAUGGAGUUGCUAGUAACCGCAGGUCAGCAAUACUGCGGUGAAUACGUUCCCGGGUCUU